rnacentral:tRNA from 1 species
GGAGUGUAGCUCAGUGGCAGAGCAUUUGCCUAGCAUGCGCAAGGUCCUGGGUUCAAUUCCCACGACACCCCC